UACGUAGGGGGCAAGCGUUGUCCGGAAUCAUUGGGAGUAAAGCGCGUGUAGGCGGCCAGAUAAGUCCGCUGUGAAAUCUCGAGGCUCAACUUCGAGCUGUCGGUGGAAACUGUCUGGCUAGAGUCCGGAAGAGGAGAAUGGAAUUCCUGGUGUAGCGGUGAAAUGCGCAGAUAUCAGGAAGAACACCCGUGGCGAAGGCGGUUCUCUGGGACGGUACUGACGCUGAGACGCGAAAGCGUGGGGAGCGAACAGG
rnacentral:rRNA from 1 species